rnacentral:rRNA from 1 species
CACGUAGGGUGCGAGCGUUGUCCGGAAUUAUUGGGCGUAAAGCGUGCGUAGACGGUUAUUUAAGUCGGGUGUGAAAGCCCCGGGCUCAACCUGGGAAUUGCAUUCGAGACUGAAUAGCUAGGGUACGGUAGAGGGAAGUGGAAUUUCCGGUGUAGCGGUGAAAUGCGUAGAUAUCGGAAGGAACAUCAGUGGCGAAAGCGACUUCCUGGACCAGUACCGACGUUCAGGCACGAAAGCGUGGGGAGCAAACAGG